CCUACGGGAGGCAGCAGUGAGGAAUAUUGGUCAAUGGGCUUACGCCUGAACCAGCCAAGUCGCGUGAGGGAAGACUGCCCUAUGGGUUGUAAACCUCUUUUGUCAGGGAGCAAUUGGCGCUACGUGUAGCGUUAUCGAGAGUACCUGAAGAAAAAGCAUCGGCUAACUCAGUGCCAGCAGCCGCGGUAAUACGGAGGAUGCGAGCGUUAUCCGGAUUUAUUGGGUUUAAAGGGUGCGUAGGCGGAAUGCCAAGUCAGCGGGAAAAUCGCGGGGCUCAACCUCGCUCCGCCGUUGAAACUGGCGUUCUUGAGUGGGCGAGAAGUAUGCGGAAUGCGUGGUGUAGCGGUGAAAUGCGUAGAUAUCACGCAGAACUCCGAUUGCGAAGGCAGCAUACCGGCGCCCAACUGACGCUGAAGCACGAAAGCGUGGGUAUCGAACAGGAUUAGAUACCCGUGUAGUC
rnacentral:rRNA from 1 species